AAAGAAAAUAACAAUGAUUCCCUCAGUAACGGCGAGCGAAGAGGGAUAAGCUCAAAUUUUAANUCUGUUGGGUUCCACUUAACAGAGUUGUAUUUUGAAGAAACGUUUUCUGCGUCCAGGAUUAGCCUAAAUCCUUUGGGAUAAGGUAUCAUGGAGGGUGAGAAUCCCGUUCAUGGUUAAUCUUAAGGAAGCUCUACGAUACGUUUUCCAAGAGUCGAGUUGUUUGGGAUUGCAGCUCAAAAUGGGAGGUAAAUUUCUCCUAAGGCUAAAUAUUGGCGAGAGACCGAUAGCGAACAAGUACCGUGAGGGAAAGAUGAAAAGAACUUUGAAAAGAGAGUUAAACAGUACGUGAAAUUGUUGAAAGGGAAACGAUUGAAGUCAGUCAUACCAACGGGAAAUCAACCUUUUGAGCUUGGUCUCGUGGGUUUUGAAGAGUUUCAAAGCCUUCGGAUUCGCGGGAUUGGGAUCUCUUGGUGUACUUUUUCGUUCGGUUAGUCAACAUCGGUUUUGAAUGUCAUAAAAUGACUGGAGGAAUGUAGCUUCGAUCUCGUAUUGAAGUGUUAUAGCCUUUGGUAGAUGUGAUGUUUGAGACCGAGGAUUGCAACGGAUACCCUUCAGGGCUAUUCGUCUGAUCUCUGAUACGUUGCCUUGAUGUUGAAAGCUUGCUUAUGAUGUUAGGGUAUUACGGUCAAAAGGUUAGAACGAAUUACAUUCGUUAAGGAUGUUGACGUAAUGACUUUAAACGACC
rnacentral:rRNA from 1 species